CAGGGUACCGGUUGAUUCUCCUUAGUUCAACCAAAUGAACUAAAUUUCAAAAUAACAUAACUUUUUGGAAAAUUAGUUCAUUUGUUUGAACUAAGCAGGGUCAACGGGUACCCUG
rfam:Brachypodium distachyon strain Bd21 chromosome 2, whole genome shotgun sequence.